UUUUUUCACAUAUUAAGCAAAACUGAAGCAUAGAAUAGGAGCAAACUAUAUAAAACAAGCAAAAUUAAGCUCUGUUACAACUUUAGGUUUAUGAAACCAAAAUCUAGACGAUAAUAUUUAAAAAAAAAAUACUUGCAAUACAACCAAAUAUUAUAUCAGACACAUUGCUACGAACAAAAGCACAAAAAGCUGGUUAACGAAGAAAUCCCAGAAUCGCACACAGCUCAGACAACAACGAGAAUGAGAGAAACUCCCAUCCAGGAUCCGCAUUCAAACAUCACAUUAUGCCUGUAGCAACAUUUAACAAAAACAAAAAAACACGAUUAUAUUAAAAAAUAAUAAUACUAAUAAUAAUAAUAAGAGAAUAUAUUUUUAAAACGAUGCAAGAUCACAUGCCUUGUUAGCAAUGUUGUUAGAGAGCCAAUCGAGACCCUCGUAAAGUCCUUCACCGGAAGUUGCACAGGUGCUCUGGAUGUACCUGUGGUAAAGCAACAUAAGGUUAAUACUAUAAUGAUAUUGGAUGACCACUAGUCUGAUGGUCAAUCAGACUGGUGGAUAGUCAUCCCAUUAUCAGAUGACUAGUGCAAAUUUAUUGAUGCACCGAUCAUCUGAUAUAUGGUUGAUGCACCGGUCAUCUGAUCAUAUCAGAUGACUAGUGCACUACGUAUGAUAUAUCACACCAGUCUGAUUGUCAGACUGUUGGAUAGUCAUCCAACUAUCAGAUGAUUAGUGCAACUUUAUGCUUGCACUAGUCAUCUGAUAUAUGGAUGGUGCACCGGUCAUCUAAUAUGAUAUGACAGAUGACUGAUGACCGGUGCACUGUGUAUAAUAUAUCAUGGAGACGAGAUUUUACCAGUGGCGCUGUCGGAGGGAAUGGAGGCCGAGCUUAUCGGUGAUUUCAGCAGCAUUCAUUGCAUUUGGAAGAUCUUGUUUGUUAGCAAAUACAAGCAACACUGCAUCUCGAAGCUCAUCCUGUAUCAAUAAAUAAAUUUAGUCUUAUGAUUAUUAUAUAACUUCUUAUAUAUAGUAGAUUUGUUUAUUUAGUUAUUUAUUUAAAAUUGAUUCGCAAAAUAAAAAUAAAGAUAAAUAAAUUGUUGUUUUUGCCUGUCAGAAUGGAAUGAUUCAUUCUUUAGCCAUGGGGUGGUUUUUUCAUUGCAUCAUGAAAUGGAAUAAGAGAUUGUAAUAUAAAUCAUAUAAUCAUUUUUUAUUAAUGUACUUUUCAAUUGCACAUAUAUCUAUUUAGAAAUUUUCAUUAUUUCAAUCAAACUACAAUUUUAUUUUUGAAUUCAAGCAAACAAACAGUAUGAGAAGAAGUAAUGUUUAAAAAAAAAUAAUUAACAAAAAAGUGCAAAAUUACCUCAUUCAACAUCCUAUGCAACUCAUCUCUUGCCUCAACAACUCUAUCUCUGUCAUUGCUAUCAACCACAAAGAUAAGCCCCUGAGUGUUCUGGAAGUAAUGCCUCCAUAGUGGACGAAUCUGUACAUAAACACAACAUUCACUGAUAAACACACACACACACAUAGAAAGAGAGAAUAAAUACCAACUAAAGAUCAAAAACCAAAAAUGUCCUCUACCUUGUCUUGACCCCCAACAUCCCACACAGUGAAGCUGAUGUUUUUGUACUCAACAGUCUCAACAUUAAACCCUGAAAAGAAACACAAUUUAAUCAGAGUUUCAAGAAACUGAAGGACCAUUUAAUUCUCCUUUACAAAGAAUGACAUGAAGGAAAGAGAGAUAAAUCAAGAAUAGAUCUAUAUAAAGAUUAAAGAGGACAUACCAAUGGUAGGGAUUGUUGUCACGAUCUCACCAAGCUUGAGCUUGUACAAAAUGGUUGUCUUACCAGCUGCAUCGAGACCCACCAUCAGAAUACGCAUCUCUUUCUUGGCAAAAAGCCGGCUAAAAAGCUUGGUGAAUGUUAGCCCCAUUCUAUUGCUGGUGAAGAUCCCUAAGAAAAACGAAAUUGUUAACACAAAUUUUGGAUAGAAUUGUAAAGAAACUAUUAAAAUCUAUUGGAUCUGAGGAUGUAUGAAAAUGUAUCUGUUAGGUGUAUCUAGAUUCAAGUUAGCUUGUAAACAAAGCAUUAAUAGUAGUUAUGAAAUUGAAAAUUUAAGAACAUAUAUGAUUUUUCGAACAUGUAUUGUCAUCAUCGUAACUAUAAAAAAGAUCGCUUCACCGAAACUUAGUUAAAUCGAUUUUCAAAUCGAAGUCCGUGAUGAACUUGUUUACCAGGAAAACAAUGUUACAAUAUAAGAGCGAUCGAUCGGAAUUCGGAUCUGAAUAAAACCUAAAUUACGAAGAAAAAUUCGGCAUUUUCUCCUCGAAGUGAUUCAACCUAAUGGAUCUUUUAAGAUUAUAGCUUCAAUAACAGCUCCACAACAGAAAUAGUUUUUAUAAAAUUGUAAUUCAGAAAGUAGAUCGAUCUUUACAGCCUGUAGCAUGCAGAUCAAAAACUUACAAAAACGUAAACCUAAAAAUCACGAAGUAAAACUGCACAUCGAUAACCUAACACCGCCGAUUUUGAAUGGAAAGUCACAAUAAAUUGUGAAUACAUCACGAGAAAUCUCUCGGUUGCAUAAGAAUUGCCAAUAAAAUACACAGAUUUGUUAAAGCAAGUCAAUCACCAGAGAUCUGAAGGCGGAUGAACAGAAAUUUUCAAGGAAAUUCCUUUUAAUUAUGGGUAUAAUCAACAAAAUCAAAAAGGAAACGGAAAUGAAGAUUCGAUUUACCUGAGAAAGAGCUUUUGGAGAGGGAUCGAUCGAAAAGAGAACGAGAGAGAGGGGCUUGUGAAAUAUGGGGGCGAGAUACGUCAACGGAGAUGGCGUUAAAUAAAGAAAGCAAAAAGGACCGCCAGAUAUUACUGUUUACCAUUCACUUUUUCCCUUCAUGUACGUAAUACCCAAACUACCCUUUUUGACUAAAAUUGACUUGGUAAUUUUUAUAUUUGAAUUACUUACUUUUCAUGUCCCAACUUAAAACUCAAUGAAAUAAAAUCAGGAUAUAUAAUGAUAAGAAAAUUGUUAAUUUUUAAAAAAAAAUGAGUACAUCAUAUUAAUGGUUAUUGUGAUUUGGUAUAAUAUUGAAUGUUGUUACUUACUAAGAAAAUUACAAAAAUGAUACUAACUUUUCACUAUUUAGGUUUUGUAAAAUAAUAAUAGUAUGAACUCGAUUAUAAACUUGUUAUAUCCGGUUGGAACCGAAACCAAAUGUUGUCUAAGCAAAGAACCGAUGAUUGAUCUGUUGGAACUUUGUUUACUAAUUUACUUUGUGGGACUUGUCCCACAUUGGAAGCAAGAAAAAAAAAUGUCACAACUGGCAAAUUUAUGGUUGAGAUUAUGACUCAUAUACAAACAAUUCAUCUAUGUAACCUUAUUACAUUAAACUAUUGAAAUUCAAAAAUGACAAUGUUAUAUAUACAUGCAUGCACUAAGAAUCAAGUAGUAAUAACCUCAUGUAAGCCCAAAUUGAUCCAAUAGCUAAACAAAAACAAAUUUUUGGGCUUUUGCUUAGAGUUCUCGGCCCAAAUACCCUAGGCCAAAAACCUUUUUUUUCCUUUGGGCCUUAUUGGACCGAAAACCCUUUAUUGGGCCAAAUUAAGCCCAAAAGCCGUACACACUCCAAAACCGAAAACCCUUUAAGGAUAUAAGGUGUUUUCGGCCACCUUAAAACCGGAAACCUUGAGUGGGUUUUAGGUGUUUUCGGCCACCUUAGAGCCGAGAACCCCACCCUUUGAGCUAAAUGGUUCGAUUUUUGCAUAAGACCAAGAGAGAGAGAGAGAGAGAGAGAGAGAGAGAAGGAAGGAAAGAAUUUACCAAGCCUUGACAUCUCACCACUUUACCUCUUAUUGUCUAUCAAAUAACCAUGCAUGGCAAGCUCUUACACUUCAUCUCUCCAUGCAUGACCCUUAAUAACCUAUCAAGCAUUAACCAAGUCAUUUUCCCUCUUAUUUAAAGAGGUUUCGGCCGUAGAGUGGGCACCCCACUCUUGGCACUUGAAUCCUCUUGCUCAUUACUCCCAUUACCUCUCUAAGAACAAAGCCAUUUCGAGCAUCAUCACCUCAAAGUCGGUCCUAGGAAAUUUUGGUAAGUUUCUUGUAAAACUCAAGUGACUUUAUAUAUUUUAAAGUUAAGAUCAUAAUGUUUACACACAUAUUUUCGUGUGAAGUUCCUUAGAAUACUAGCAAUUAUCGAUAAUCUCUUCAAACUCGUGCAAGGCUAGGCUCGACAUUUCUCCUCUUUUCCUUCCUACAACUCAUGAAAUCAUCAAGGUGAGCUUCAUACCCCAUGUUUUUCGGGGGGGGAGGGGGGGAAUACAAGUCGAGUUUUGUUUACCCACUGGAUAUUUGUAUGCACCAACUUGUUUAUGGAAUGAUUUGUGCAUUUGGUGUCGAAAACUUCAUGCUUACACACUUAAAAAUCAGGUUUCAUAAAAUUGUUAUAAGUUAAAAUGUAGCACCUGGUUCCUGGUAUGUAUUUUAAUCUAAGUAUUUUUACAUUUUUAGCUAGGACUCGGCGAGUUGUAGGCCCGACUCGCUGAGUAGAGACGGGAUAUUGAGCACGUUUAAGUUGACGACUCGACGAGUCCACAUUCUGGACUCGGCGAGUCCGCCAGUCUGGAAGAAACCCUAAUUUCAAGGGUUUGCACCCUAUUUAAACCCCCCUUAUGCGCCCCAAGCUCGUCCCCUUCACCCUCAGGACAUCCUUUACCAAACCCUAACCCUCCCCUUUGUGAUUUGAGUGUUUGUGUGCUUUUCCUUGAAGUUUGAAGAAGAGAAGGAAGGAAGGACCAAGGAGAAGGAGAAAAGCAAGGAUCUAGAACUCAAUCCAGAGUUCAUUGAGGUAUAUUUCGGAUCUUUUCUGUUGCCAUGAUGAUUUUCUAUUAGAAACCCCAUUUAAGCCAUCUUUAUCCAUUUCCUAGCUUGAUUGUAAUAUAGAGAUCAUAUUGAGUGGAAUGGCCUUUGAAUCUAGCUAGGUUUGAGCUUCAAGAGCCCAGAUCUACUGCUUUUAUGGAUCCAUAUUGCAUGAAAACCCUAGAUCUACUCUUUUAGUGUGUUUUGAACCUUAAAACCUUCAUUGGUGUUUAUCUACACGUAAAGUUGGAAACUUUAUGAUAUUUGCAUAUUUAGCCUUAUUUUAAGUAUAGAUUUUUAUCAUUUGUUAGCUAAUUUAUUGCAUAUCAUGGACAAAAGAUACUUAAAAGUGUUUGAAUUGUGUUUUCAGUCCAAAAGUGAAGCUCGGGAGAAAAAGGAAGCAGGAGAAGCGGUUGGGAGCUCGGGAAUUGAUCAAAGAAGAAAAACACCAAAAACAACACCUACUCGGCGAGUAGGGUCAACUACUCGGCGAGUCUGAUCGAAGAUUCGAGAAGAUAAAGACUCCGUGACUUAUCGUGUACGGGAAUUAACGGAUGGACUCGGCAAGUCGGCAAUGGACUCGACAAGUCAGUUCGCAUCUAUAAAGAUAACUUCUCAGAUCGACAUGGAAUCUAUGGAAUCUUUUUAGAGAAAAGAGUUGCAAUUGGAGAGUCAGAAGAACCCUAGAGAUCGAAGAUACAACCUAGAAUCCAAUUCCGAAGGAGAUUUGAGGCAAAUUCUCAUCAUUCUACUUAAUCUUUUCUUUUUCAUUAUGGUUAGACAAUUAGAAUUCGUUUUAUUGCUGUUAAUUACCUCAAUCAUGAGCUAAAACUCUUAAACUUAUGUUUGGGGAUACAAUAUUGAUACUAUGGUUUGAAUUAUGGUAGGAUUAAUUUAAUAUUGGUGAUUUUGUUGAUUCUAGCUUGUUAAAGAACCUUAUGUGUGAAUGAUAACUAUUUUUCUGUUAAUAGGAAGAUAAUUAAGCUGCAUGAACAUCUUUUAGUUGUUAACCUCAUAUGUUUAUGUGACCACUUUAUCAUAUGUCUAGGAUUAAUGAACAUGAAACUAGAAUUAAUAAGAAAAAUAGGUAAAUUCAUGUGUGAGCUUGUGUGAUGACCAUCAACAAGAGGUUAACUAAAGGAACAAAUUAGUUAAUCAUUACAAGUCUAAAUUAACCCGAAUAAAUAAUCUAGUUAAUUAAAUUAAAUUAGACAACUGAUCACAGUUUGAGUUAGUUUGUUCUCUAAGGAUUAGUGCAGCGAACGCGAAGCUAAUCACUUGAAUCGGUAGCCAAUAGAAGAAUUAAUCCAUUGCACUAUUACUAUAAUAUCAACCAUAGGAUCAAUUGAGUUGAACUAAACAGAAGUUCCUUUCGUUAUUGAAUUUAGUUAAAUCUUCGCUUUUCUAGUUUUUAGCCUAAGUAAUAUUAGUAAGUUUCUAGUCUUGUAAAACUAGAGAAAACCCCUAUUUAUUAUUUAAUUUAGAUAAAAUUAGUCUUUAGUUUUAAUUUACCGUUCCCUGUGUUCGAUACCCUACUUAUUUAACUUUACCACAAUUGAUAGGUCCACCGCCUUUGUGUGUUCAUUUUAUAAUUAAAAAGUAGGUUUAAAACUAGUUGAGUUUUACACACAUCAAGUUUUUGGCGUCGUUGCCGGGGAACGGUUCUAAAUUAGCACUAAUUUCUAGUUCUAUCGAUCCUUUGUGUGGGAUUUAUCUUACACAAAGUUAAUUUUUUUUAAGUGAUUUAGUAAUCAGUAUAGUUUUUGAUUAUUGGUAGUUAAUUAGAGGUUUUUCUUUUUUUGCCUUGAACUCGCCGAGUGCACUCGUGUUGACUCGGCGAGUCCAUCGCUGUUCACAGUUUUAAUUCUAAUUUUAUUUUUGUUUUUUUUUACGCGUUUUGUUUUUGUGUGCGGUUGUUUCAUGACCCGAGGAUCUAAUACACCUUUGGUCCCUCCACUCGAAGACCCGGAAUCCGCACUAAAGAAGAACACAGGAAAAGCUGUUGGAGAAACCACUUCUUCGAAGAGCUCACCGUUGAAGAAUUUAAAGUCCGUUUUCAAGAAAGGCAGCAAACUAGGAGCAUCCAGCACCUCAUUAGCCAUCGACGACCCGAUCAAAGAGGACAUCGAGUACGAAUCCGAAUGAGAAGAAGACACCACUUUUGGUCACGAAUCCGACGUAUUAGUUUCCAAAAAUACAUAUUCGUUAUCAGAGUAAACAUUCUCAGGCUGUCUAAACUAUGGUGUGUGCCAUGCGAUCACCCCGAGCUCUUCCCUCCGCUACCGGAAGUACCUGAAAACAAAACUGAAAACUGUAAGCACGAAGGUUAGUGAGUUCCCCACCCUACCGCAUACCAUGAAUAACCACAUAUUGCACAUACCGGGCCACGCCCGCUAUCCUGGGCCUCGCCCCUACCUCGGGCCUCGCCCGCUACAACGGCCCUGCCGCCCCAGGCCCCGCCUGGCUUCGAGCCCCGCUCGGAUACAGAUCUGUUUCACUUAGGCCUCGCCUGUCACAGGGCCUCGCCCACUAACAUAUAAUAGCACAUAAACAUAUCACAUCACAUCACAUAAGCUAAACACAUACUAACGGAUCUUGUCCUAAGGCCUCGCCUAUCUCUGGGCCCCGCCCUUGUCCUGCUACUGAUGAGUCAUGGAACCCCGUCCAUGCUCCUACUGGUAGUGAGAUACGGGCCCAGCCCACACUCACUCCUUUCCUGACUUGGGCCUCGCCCCUGCUCUGCUGCUACUGAGAUGUGGAACACCAUCCACACUCUGCUAUUGGUGAGAUACGGGACCUCGCCCACACUCACCUCCCUACCAGGCACAUACAAGUAUCACACAGACAACAAGUAUAAACUAUCACAUAAACCAUUCCUUGGGCACCCGCCCUCUAUCAUUGGACCUCGUCCCGAAUAUCAUACUAGCAUACUGUGCCUAGGGCUAACCCCCGGGUCUUCUACUCAUAACUACAUGGGCCGGCAUUGUGGCCGUAGACCCAUUCAUACAAAGGGAAACUCACCUGCACUGGCUGAACUGGCUGAUGAACCCACUAGCUGCUGCCCGACAACUCUCUGAACUCCUGCUCCACUCGCUCCCCGAGCUACCAAUAUCAAUGCAACACUGAGUCUAACUGACCCCCGAAAGACAACCAAGUCAACUCUGGUCAAAGUCAAAGUCCUGGUCAAAGUCAACCUUCCAGGUCAACCCUACUCGCCGAGUCACCCUAUUGACUCGCCGAGUUCAUAUGUUCAGAGUCCUUCUAUUCGCGACUCGACUCGCCGAGUCAGUCCAUGACUCGCCGAGUCUACCGAUUUCCGAGUCCUGACCUGUCCAACUCACCGAGUCUCCAUUCGACUCACUGAUUCGAGUCUCAACUCGAAGGGUUUGGGGUUUCGCGACCUGACUCGCCGAGUCCAAGAACAGACUCGCCGAGUCCAAGACAACCUUCAACAGACUCGCCGAGUUGUUCAUCCAACUCGCCGAGUUCCUGCCCAACUUCAUCUGACUCGACGAGCUGUUCAUCCCACUCGUCGAGUUCCUCCUCAUCUUCAUGCUACUCGCCGAGUCCACUCAAAGGACUCGCCGAGUCCAUUCAGAUCUCCAUACAUGCAGAGGACUUUUGAGUCAUGCAUGGACUCCAAACUGUAGAUCUACCCUUCCCAAGCCUAUUCCUCACGUAAAGUUGCAAACUUUACGUGUAGAGAAGGAGAUCUAGGCAAAAUACACCAUAAACUAGGGUUUAAGGCAAAGAGGCUCCAUAAUCAACUCAAGGGCAGAUACUUUAUGCUUCUCAAGACCAUAAUAUGCUUAGAUCCGAAGUAGCAACUUCAGAUCUGGCUUCUAACUCAAAAGGAUACCAUUAUGGCUAAAAAGCCCCAAAACUCACACAUAGAUCUAGGUGCAAAAGAGUCCAAGAACUAGUUUAUUACCUCCAAAUGUUCAGAAAUAUCUUCCCAAUCCCAGAUCUAUAGCCCCUUCUUGCACCUCCAAGAUCCUUCUUCCUUCUCCAAGCUUUAAUGCACUCUUCAAGGCAACAAUUGGCUCAAUCAAUGGAUAUGGCGGCUAGGGUUUGGUGUUCUGGGUUAGAGAGGCAGUAAAGGAACCCUAGGGAAGAGAAUGAGGCGCUUAAAUAGGCUCCAAGUCCCGAAUUUAGGGUUUUCCUCGCACAGACCAGACUCGCCGAGUCCCCUUGGCCGACUCGCCGAGUCGGUCACUUACUCCUCGACCCGGAUCCCGCUCGGACUCGCCGAGUUCCUCCUUGGACUCACCGAGUCGCCCCUUAACAUUAAGGUUUUCUUUCCUUUCUUGGCCUUCAAAACUUUGGGUGUUACAUACUGCUACUUUCGAAUUGAAGGGCCACAUACUCGCUUAACUAAGGGAAACCCCUUUCCAUGGAAAAGAUCACAAAGAUGCAUAUAAGCAUUUAGAUGAAGUUAAUGAUGUAGCUGAUUACUUUAACGUUACGAAUGUGCCUCGCGAGACCCAGCUACUUCGUAUGCUUCCAGUGACAUUCAAGGGUGCUGCAAAGGAUUGGCUCAAGUCACUUCCACCCGGAUCCAUCACCACAUGGGCUAAGAUGAAAGAGGAAUUCAUAGACCACUUUUGCCCACCUUCUAAAAUAGCCAAGUUGAAGAAAGCUAUUGCCAACUUUGAGCAACAACCCAUAGAGUCCCUUUAUGAGGCGUGGGAAAGGUACAAAGGUUUUCUCAGAAAUUGCCCACACCAUGACCUUAAUAGCCAACAAGAGGUCUCCAUCUUCUAUGAUGGAGUCAAUGUUACCACAAGGCAAUUGCUCGACUCGCAAGGCCUGCUCACAAAGAAGGCACCCCCGGUAAUCAAGGAAUUAACUGAAGAAUUCUCUAAACAUUCUAGAGAAUACCACAACCCAAGAAAUGAAGUAAGUCGGGGGGUAGUGAACUCGGUCAAUGAUGGCAUGGUGGCGAUGAUGGCUAAGCUCGAUAGUCUAGAUAGAAGAAUGACAAAAAUGGAUCAAACAAUCCAUGAUAUUUGAGUUGGAUGCGAGAACUGUAGAGGGCCUCAUCUCAUGAAGGAUUGUGACUUGGAUGAAAAUGGAAACAAGAAGGCGCAAGUGUUCUACUCAAGCGGGGACAAAUCCGACGAGAAUUGGCGGAAACCCAAGAAGGAAUGGCUCUCAUACGAAGAAUAUAAAAGAGCAAAGGAAGAGAAAUACAAGCAGAAGGAGAGGGGUUUCUAUCAAAAGGAAGAACCGGUUAUGGAAAAGAGAGCCGAUUUAGAAGAAAUGUUCACUAGAUUUAUAGCCGCGUUUGAGAAAAGACACAAUGAUCAUGAUGCUGCAAUACAAGAGACCAGAACUAUACUUAGGAAUCAUCAAGCAUCUAUUCUCAACAUUGAGAAACAGUUAGGACAACUUGCACAUCAAGUGAACGAGAGGAGGUCGUGAGAACUUUCGAGUAAAACCGAGAAUAAUCUGAGAAUGGAGAAUGUGAAUGCUAUAACCUCCAACUAUGGAAAAAUUUUUACUCCUAUGACCCCUGCACAGAUGGUUUCAACUAAGGUGCAAGCAGAAACAACAGAAGAGUCGAGUUCAGCUAAACCGGACCAGACUCGCCGAGUCCAUGCCCUAAUGACAAAUCUGUUGUUUCCUUAAAGCCCUACAACCCUCCUUUGCCAUUCCCAAUCAGAGCCAUACCUGAUGAAAAGGUUAGAGCAUAUAGAGCUUUCAUGGAACAUGUCAAGGCCCUUCAAGUCAACAUCCCAUUUGUGGAAAGGAUGCUUCAAACACCUAAGUAUUUGAACUUGCUAAAGGGUCUCUUUGCUGCUAGAAAAGAUUUGGCUGAAGUUGCGGAGAUAGUGUUGAGUGAACUACCAGAAAAGAAGGGCGAUUCGGGAGGCAUCAUUGUUCCUUGUCAAUUUGGAAAUAUACUUGCCACUCAAGCAUUGACCCAUUCGGGUGCAAGUAUUAACUUAAUGCCCUUUUCUUUCUUCAAGAAGCUGAAUUUACCGGAGCCAAGGCCUGUUAAUAUGAAGAUCCAUUUGGCGGAUAAGACGAUUAUUCGUCCAAGAGGUGUUUGUGAAGAUCUUCUCAUUAAGGUGGACAAAUUCGUAUUCCCUGUGGACUUCGUAGUGCUUGACAUGGAAGAAGACCCCAAAAUUCCAAUUAUUUUGGGGAGACCAUUUCUAAAUACCGCAUGCGCAUUGAUAGAUGUAUGCGAGUCCACACUAACAUUGAGGGUAGGAGAUGAGUCAACAGUGUUUAAAGCUCUACCAGAGAUUAAGCAAGAAGAAGCAAGAAAAGAAGAAAUUUCCUUCAUUGAUAUGGAAGAUGAAAUACUACAAAAAGAACUCACACUCUUGCAAGAAGAACAUCCAAGCAAGUUUUUGCUAUCGUCUGAAGAAAACUUUGAUGCGGAUAAAGACUUAAAAGAGAUGGAGAGGUUGCUUGGGGGAGCUGAUCCAGAAGAAACAAAGGAUUUUAUGGAAUACGCUCCGACUCGCCGAGUCGCUUUGACAGACUCGAUGAGUCUCGUUGAAAAAUGCAGAAAAGAAGACAGCCUUGACUUGCUUCUUACCAGCACCUUGCACGUUCUUGAAAUGAAGAUCUGUCCUAAUACUUUGGAAGAUCCAACAGCGGAUGGCGAAGUUUUCGAAAAACAUUAUGACUUCCAAAAUGUUCAAAUAGCUUACCUUAAUUCAAUUAUGCAAGAAGAUGAGGGAACUCAACUUGACGGGGAGGCAAGCUUGGGAGAAAAGGAGAAUGCAAAGGUGUGGAAUGGUAAUACUAAUAACUCAUCCACAAAUAGAGUGAUCAAGUUAACCAAGCCUCGAGCCCGAGUGUUUUCUACACAUGAAGUCAUUAUGUUUUAAGAAAAGGAAGUUCAAAAGAGGGUGCAAGAGAAUGGGGUGAAGAAAAAGAAGGCUGGAAAACGGAUCAAGCAUACAAUUAAAGAAGAUGCCACGCGGAAAAAGAGAGAAGAAUUGAGAUGGGCUUACAAGAAGAAGAUACACGCUUAUAAGACAAAAUAUAAACCACAAAAGAUAAAGCGUGAGUUCCCGAUGCAGCACAACGAAGAAACGUAGAUGAGAAGGAGUCCAGCUAACGACUCCUUAAAAAGAAGCGCUUGGCGGGAGGCAACCCGUUAUUAGAGUUUGCUUUCUUUUAUCUUUCUCGUUUUAGUUUUGUUUGAUUUUCGUUUUUAGGAUUUUAUUUUCAUCUUCUAAAUCAUCAAACAUGACUGCUUGAGAGUGCGUAUGGGCUAAGUGUGGGGUGGAAUAAAUUUUUUUUUAUGAAUAAAUGACAAAAUGAUAUAAUUUUUGAAUAGUUUGCAAGUGACUCGCCGAGUCUGACCCUGACUCGACGAGUCUAUUCAGAUUCUAGAUGAUUUUCAAUUCGCGAUCAGACUCGCCGAGUCUAACCCUGACUCGACGAGUUGAUUUUAUUUACAGAAAAAAAUAUUAAUUAAAAAUAAUCUUUACAUCUGGUAAAACUAGGGUUUUUACCCUAAUGAGAUCAUAUCCCAUUCAUACUCGCCGUGUGCCCACUCUUGUUUUCUCUCUCAAGCACUCAUCAAGUUCUUCAGUUUUUUUUUUAAAAUUCUCGAAUUCUAUCAACAAAGGUACUUAAUUUCUUCUAUAAUUCUGUUAAAACCAUGAUUUUUAGAUGUUCUAAGGUGUCAAUUUCAUAGAAUACCCGAUUUUGAAAUUUAGUGAAUUUUUAGGGUUUUGAUUUUGUGUUAAUUGUGUUGUUUUGGAUGGUUAUUAUUGCUCUAAUACAUCUUAGGAAUGUCCAUGGACAAAACCCUUGAAAAAUUUUGUGUUUUUAUGGUCGAAUUUCGAUCGACCCGUCGACUGACUCGCGCAGUUCAUCCGACUCGUCGAGUCGUUCAUGGACUCGGCGAGUCCAGUCGGGGACCCAGAUGGAAUUUGUUUUGAUGUUUUUCUGUGUUUUCUGGGUUGUUUGUUCUUUGUUUUGCAGGAACAAUAUGUUUCAAAGAGGUUAGAGCUCAAGUGGAAACCAGGGAGAUUUUCCUUGGUUGAAUUUUCCUCAGAUUGAAUCUGCUUCCACGAUGACAAGAUGGAGGAAGAAGCUGGCUGAGAUCAGGAAGAAGGAGAUUUAUGUACCUAAUAGGAUUGACUGGGAUUGGUUAAAGAAUGUCCGAUAUGAGGAAGAGUUGGAGCCUUACCUUUUUAAGGAAUUUAAUUAUGAUGGGGUGUCAAUUAUAUGUGAUGAGUGGAGCCGCGUUUUCAGAAUUCAAGAGCCGGUGUUUCGAGAACUCUGCUAGGAAUUUUUCUCCACGGUAUCUUUCCGAGGAGGAGAUGAUUGCUACCACCCCGGGAGCUUUAGUUUUUGUCUUGGGGGUGAAUAUCAUCAAUGUUCUGUCAUUGAACUUGCAUGCCGAUUAGGGAUUUAUGACCAACCAUUGGUCACUAUUGUUGUCUUCCGCGCCUUCUUAGAACAAUCUCAUAAGGUGUUCCCCGAUGGUGUUACAAGUAUUGGUUGGUGGAACACAAUCACCAACAAAUUAUAUAUUCCGAAAUCGGCCCAAGAAGGGAGCAUUAGUUCGCCCACAUACCGCCUCAUCCACCGUCUUAUCUCCACUACAAUCAAUCAAAGAAAGGAUGACGACAAGGUUUCCAAUCUUGACGUAUUUUAUCUUUGGAGUAUCAUCACGCCCGGCACCUUCUGCAACAUUCCAUGGUGUUUGGCCUCUUACUUGGCGGAGGGCGCGGUCAAGGACCGGAAAACCUCCAAGAUAAACGGUGGAAUGUUCGUGACCCGGUUAGCCAACUCCUAUGGGUUGAUGACUCGCGGUGCAUGGAACUUGAUGACGAUGAUUCCUGCCCCUCCCUUUAAUCCUAUUCUUUUUCGGAGGGCAAGAAUUAUUGAAGAUUAUGGCGGUGGACAUUAUGCUAUUCCCAAUGACGAUCCGGUGAUCGGGCCCGAGGCACCGGGAAGGAGGGUUAGAUCGAGACGUGCACGGGAAGUGGAAGAGGAACCGCCGGUGAUUCUGGUGGAUAAUGAUGAAGUGCCAAUGGAUUGGUAUAAUGUCAAGAUGAGGCGGCUACAAGACCAAAUGGCGAGGGGUAUCAAUUUUAGCAACGAGUCCCACAUUCGGCUUUUUGACCACUUCCAUAUUCCACACAUUGAUGGGGGUAACUUCCCCUAUAUACCAUCUUGGGACGAGAUCAUUAAUGAAAGACGGAGUGGAGCUGGUGGGAGCGGGGCUGCACAUGGCAAUGAUGAUGAGGAGGAUGAUUAGUUUUUCUUUUAUUUAUGCUUUGUUGAGCAAUUUAUUUUUGUUUUUAUUUUUGGUGUGUUUUGAAUUCUUAGUUAAGAGUUUUAUUCAUAUGCUUGAUGUUUAAUUUGCCUUGGUGUCUUUCAGAUUUUGGAUUAGGAAUGCUUGCAUAAAGGGUUUAGAGUUUGAGAGAAAGGAAAAAAAGAGUGGAAAAGAGUCAAGAAAGGGCGAAGUUUAGAGUUAAGGUGUUGAGUCCGGUCCGAAAGGACAUGAGUGAAUAAUUCUAGAAGUUAUGGGAAGUUUAUGAGGUUUAUCACAAGCUGGAACAAGUGCAGAAUUUUUAUUUUUCACCCAGCACAGACUCACUGAGUGCACUAAGCAAACUCGACGAGUCGCAUAUAUUUUCACACUUUCGAGGCUUUCCGCAACUAUAUUCGACGAGUCGUUUAUAUUACUCGACGAGUCACUUAUCUUUACACCGUGAAGACUCUUGAUUCAAUGUUGUUGGAUAUAUCACUUGACUACUUUAUCUUUGCAAUCAAUUCCUGAGGAUUUUACAAUAUUUUUCCUACGCAUUUGGAGCUACCCACAUGCAAUUUGAUGCCCAAGACAUGGAUGAGUUGUUCCCAUGUCUAAAGUCAAUUGAAGAUGGAGUUGAAAAGAAGAGAUAUCACCCUAGCGACUGCUACUCCAGGGGAGUUUGUUCCAAUUCUCUCUAUAUUUCAUGUUUUUAUUUUUCAUGCAUAAUAUGCAAUGAGGACAUUGAAUAAAAUAAGUGUGGUGUAAGGGGUUGGUUACAUCUUAGUGAAUUGAGAAUCUUAAUAUCCUAAUUUAGGUCUAAUUUAAGAAAAUUUGCAUACCAAAAAUGUGACUUAGGAAUUAAUUUAGAAAACUUUGGUAAAAAGUGAUUAAGAUUCCAUGUUGGAAUUGUGUUGAUGAUUGCAUGAAAACUCAAAUGUUUAGUUGAGCCUAUAUAUGUUCUAGUGCAUUUGUGGCUUCCCUAUUCCAGUGAAAUCAUGGGACAAAAACACGACCUUGCUCAGCCCGAGGGAUGCAAUAUGUUUAGCAUUGUGUACUUGAAAUGUAUCCAGGAAAAUUAUUAUUUUAGCCAAUAAAGGUUGAAGUUGAGCGCCCCUGCUUAAGCAUGUAGGGUUUUGAGUGAAAAAAAAAGUGAGAUACAUGUUAAAAAAAAAAAGAAGAGAGAAUUACGAGAAAAGUUUGAAGAAUUUUUGGAGCUUUCGAAAUGAAGAUCAAAAGAUAAAAAUUCUGAAGAUUCAAAAAGUUGAAGAUACUAAAGACCAAACAAACAAGGUGGUGAAUUCAAAGAAAUUAAAGAUCAAGUAUCAAAGAAGUAAUGAAUUCUGAAGAGCUUUAUAGUGGUGUCAUAAUUUGUAAUUCUAGAUUAUGUAUGCUUGGGUUGCUCAACCCAAAAUACCUUGAGGAUAGGAGGUUUUCUGCGGAUGGAUUCGGAGGGAUGCAUAAAAUGAGCAUUGUUUGGGAUAAGUGGGUGAAUGUUUAUGAGAAUUGUAAGUAUUUGGAAUAUUGGGGGUUUUUAGGAAAAUUUAGACACAAAUGUAUGUGUUGCAGUUUUGGCAUAAUGGAUGGGUUAGAUUGGAGUUGUCCUAUGUGAUUCUAAUGUGCUAAAAUUCAAUUUUGCUUGGGGGCAAGCAAAAGUCAAGUGUGUGGUAUUUUGAUAUUUGCAUAUUUAGCCUUAUUUUAAGUAUAGAUUUUUAUCAUUUGUUAGCUAAUUUAUUGCACAUCAUGGACAAAAGAUACUUAAAAGUGUUUGAAUUGUGUUUUCAGUCCAAAAGUGAAGCUCGGGAGAAAAAGGAAGUAGGAGAAGUGGUUGGGAGCUCGAGAAUUGAACAAAGAAGAAAAACACCAAAAACAACACCUACUCGGCGAGUAGGGUCGACUACUCGGCGAGUCUGAUCGAAGAUUCGAGAAGAUAAGGUCUCGGUGACUUAUCGUGUACGGGAAUCAAGGGAUGGACUCGGCGAGUCGGUACACAUCUAUAAAGAUAACUUCUCAGAUCGACAUGGAACCUCUGGAACCUUUUUAGAGAAAAGAGCUGCGAUUGGAGAGUCAGAAGAACCCUAGAGAUCGAAGAUACAACCUAGAAUCCAAUUCCGGAGGAGAUUUGAGGCAAAUUCUCAUCAUUCUACUUAAUCUUUUGUUUUCCAUUAAUGUUAGACAAUUAGAAUUCGUUUUAUUGUUGUUAAUUACCUCAAUCAUGAGCUAAAACUCUUAAACUUCUGUUUGGGGAUACAAUAUUGAUACUAUGGUUUGAAUUAUGGUAGGAUUAAUUUAAUAUUGGUGAUUUUGUUGAUUCUAGCUUGUUAAAGAACCUUAUGUGUGAAUGAUAACUAUUUUUCUGUUAAUAGGAAGAUAAUUAAGCUGCAUGAACAUCUCUUAGUUGUUAACCUCAUAUGUUUAUGUGACCACAUUAUCAUAUGUCUAGGAUUAAUGAACAUGAAACUAGAAUUAAUAAGAAAAAUAGGUAAAUUCAUGUGUGAGCUUGUGUGAUGACCAUCAACAAGAGGUUAACUAAAGGACCAAAUUAGUUAAUCAUUACAAGUCUAAAUUAACCCGAAUAAAUAACCUAGUGAAUUGAAUUAAAUUAGACAACUGACCACUGUUUGAGUUAGUUUGUUCUCUAAGGAUUAGUGCAGCGAACGUGAAUCUAAUCACUUAAAUCGGUAGCCAAUAGAAGAAUUAAUCCAUUGCACUAUUACCAUAAUAUCAACCAUAGGAUCAAUUGAGUUGAACUAAACAGAAGUUCCCUUCGUUAUUGAAUUUAGUUGAAUCUUUGNGAGAAACCCCUAUUUAUUAUUUAAUUUAGAUAAAAUUAGUCUUUAGUUUUAAUUUACCGUUCCCUGUGUUCGAUACCCUACUUAUUUAGCUUUACCACAAUUGAUAGGUCCACUGCAUUUGUGUGUUCAUUUUAUAAUUAAAAAGUAGGUUUAAAAUUAGUUGAGUUUUACACACAUCAAUUUACGUGUUAAUCGAGCCCUAAGAACCCAGAUCUAUGGAUGGAAUGCACUGGAUUCAAGCAAAAUCGAGUAUAUAGUGAUUGCAUGCAUGCGACUCGACGAGUCGUUCUUCUGACUCGACGAGUCGAAUCGCGAGUCCCCGAUUUUCCCCUUUUGAGUUAUGCCGAGUGGGAUCAGUGAGCUAUAAGUGGACUCAGUGAGUCGGAAGCCAGACUCAAUAAUGAAGGGACUCGAUGAGUCAAUGCCCUGACUCGGUGAGUCCAAGGCUAUCUUCUUGCCUCAAGAACAGACUCAACGAGUUAUUCAUACAACUCGGCGAGUCACAGACCAGAGUGUUCAUCGGAUGAAGAUGAACUCGACAAGUUGUUCAUAUAACUCGGGGAGUCAAAUUGUGACAACCCGAUAUUUCAACUCUUUGUAAUGACCUAAAAAGUCAAGUAUUGUAACCAUCUUUGAGUUAAUGAAAUUAACUUUGAUAAUAAAAUGUCCAAAAAGUAUCUAUUUAAAUUCCUACUAUGUUUAAUGUCAUUAAACCGUGUUCGUACGUAAAAAGAACACCCAAAUCUGACUUCGUAUGUUGAAGUUAUGAUUUUUUUCAAGUUCGGCAUAGCAACAGACAGCUAAAAACUCAAAUCGGAGAUCGAGCGACUUUUGGCCGGAAUGACCUAAACGAGAAUCGAAGGUCUCGACAAUGGUAAUUCAGCGGUAAAAAGUCUGGCAAAAACCGACGUCAGAUAAAGAAGUUAUGAAUUUCUAAAGAAAUUCCUUAAUCACGACAUUUUAAAAAUAAAUAAUAAAAAUAAUUUCGAAAUUUGCCGACGGAGUCUAAACGAAAGUUGUAGAGCGUAGUCUCACCUACGCGUGGAUAUAAAGACCAUCAAAAACGGAAUUCGUAUGAAGAAGAUAUGAAUUUUAGAAGUUUAUUAAUUAAAUUAAAUAUAAAUUUAAUUAUAAACUCUUGGUAUUAUCCGAAGGGAGUCAACAGAUAGGGCCGAAGUACGCCCUGCGUACCCUCGUACGCCCCGCGUACUCAAGGCCUAGGCCUCGGAUCGUCCACGUCCCGGUCUAUGCGAAGCUAGCAAGUCCCAUCCGAAGUCCGAGGCAGUCGAGGACUCGGUCAUGCGUGACGUACGCGUACGCCCCGCGUACGGAGGCGGUUCCAGCCCCUAUAAAAGGGAUGCGAGGGUUCCGAAGAAAGGGCUCCAUUUCUCUCAUUUCUUUUGCGUUCUUGCCUCGUUUUCCGUGCCCGUUCUAACCCGAAGCCCCGGUCAUUUUGCUCAAGUCCCGAAGGUCGUUUUUACUCCCGAGAUUCCCGAGAAUCCCGAGAAAAAUCCGUUUCCCGAGACGAAACUCUGCCCGGUUUCCAUCUCGCUUUCUUCAAACUUUCAAGUGAGUUCAUACCCCUUAAUUAACCUUUUAAAUGUUCUAUAAAUGCUUUUAUAUGCUUUCAAGGGGGGGAAUACAAGUAAAACACACGAGUAUCAUCGUGUGUUAUAUAAAGAAUUUUUAUAUGCUUUUAUAUAACCAAAUCAUAUGUGAUUUAUAAACUUUAUAGGGAACUCUCGUAUAUAAAAUAUGUUACAAUAGCAUUCUAUCUUUUGAAAUAUAAAUUGUUGUAAUGCAUGUAUAAACUAAACAUUUUCUUAGAUUAUAUGUAUACUUGUCUAUCUUAGGCUCUACAAAAAUCUAUACUUUCAUAACAAGUGAUUCCUUUUCUAGGUAUUUCUAAACAAACGAGACACACUUUUAGAAAACUAUAAUAGGUAUAGUUUUAUGAGGAUAUUGCUAACUUUUACAUACUAGAAACACGAUUUUCAAGAAGUCACUUUCAUAUACAAGAACAAACGAACAUUUUAACACGUAAAUCUGUUUUUAUACCACGGUUUGUGAGACAUUAACUUCACGUACGUUCGAGUACACAUUUCAAGUCCUGUAUUAUAUACCAGAAUCCCUUGGAGGGGGAGCAUGGUGUUUGUGUAUAGAUCUAUACGGGCUUGACAACCCGUGCCUUGACUGUUAGCUACAGUCCACCAUUUGGGGUGACAAACGUCAUAACAUUCCAACGCCUGAAGAACGUUGUGUAUAGGCAUUCCGAGUCAAUAGUAUGGUUAUAAAACUCACAUGGGGUAUUAAAAAUACAUUGAUUUACGAGGUUUUCAAACACGUUGGUUAUUUUACACUUACAUACAUUUUUUUUAGAAACAAACAUUGGUCUUGAGAGAAGGCUACUUUUAUACUAGUAGAAAAUAUAGGAUUUUCUAGAAACAAACAAACAAGGACAAAACAUUUCAUUUCAUACAAACAUUUUCAUUUAAUACUUAUGAAACUCACCAGCUUAAAUGCUGAUCUACUCUUUCAAAAUUACUUGUAUGUCCCAGGGAUUCAGUAAUUUCAGGUACUAAUAUGCUUUUGAAGAAGGGAUGCUGCGGCGCCAGUUUAAUCUCAUAUUUUGACAUCAUAUUGUAAUUGGUUUUGAACAUGUAACUUUUGACAAAUGUAAACUUUCAAUUAUAUAUAUGAUGGUUGUAUUGCUUUCUUUACUAUGUAUUCAUUUGUUACGUUACCACAUGAAGUCAUCCGCCCCCGAACGUUUCUGCCGUUCAGGUUUGGGGGUGUGACACAAAUGAAGGACUAUUGAAUAUCUAUAUAGAAGGAGAACUCGUCGAGUCAAUGCCUAACUUGACGAGUAGGGACGGGAGUGAGGACAAUCAACUGGAUAGGCACUCGACGAGUUAGCGAGCCAACUCGGCGAGUCGGGUCAACUGGAAGUUGACUUUGACUUUGACUUUUGACUUGGUCAGGAGAAAAAUGGUCAUUUUACCCUAAGGACAAUUAGCAGUGUUUGAUUGAGUGUUUUGUGGGGAUUACAGCCGGAGGAUUUCCGGAGCAACAGCAACAGACAGACAGUUCCCAUGCAGAUCAGCAGCUGCUUCAAGGUGAGUUACCUUCCAGUAGCGGUGGGUCUACGGCCACAGUGCCGGCCCACCAGUAGGAGUUGUGUGUUAGAUUAUUGUCUUAGUGAUAUCAUCUAGGUUUGCUACUACCUAAUAUGUUAUAUGCUAGCAUGAUAUGUUAUAUGUGAUAGUAGUAGAGUUCGGUUGUCAGGACCGAAGGGUAGCUCAGACACCCCAUAUAUGUCUGAUAAUAUGUUAAGUUAUGAUAUGUGAUAGUAGUAGUAGUAGGGGGUGAAAUAGUCCCCGAGGAUCGGUUGUCAGGACCGACGGGUAGUCAGCACCCCAGAAUGGCUUGACACGGGUAGUCAGCACCCCAGAAUGGNUAGAAUGGCCGUACCGGGUAGGUCGGGCACCCCAGAAAUGCCUGACAAGUAUUGUAUGUUAUAUGAUUGUAUGGUAUGUGGUACGGUGGGGGAACUCACUAAGCUUUGUGCUUACAGUUUUCAGUUUUGGUUUCAGGUACCUCUUCAUCGAAGGGGAAGGAGCUGGCGUGGUAGCGGCACAUCAUACACAUACACUAUUUUCCGCCUUACGAGAUUGUUUUGGGAUUUGUACUCUGACAUUUAGUUGAUUUCGUAUUUUGGUUUUCAAACACGAUAUAUUAUUGUGAAAUGAUUUAAUCAGACAAUGUUUUCCAAAGUAUUGAUUUAAAAAUGAAAUUUUUUGGACGUGAAAAUUGGGUUGUUACAAGUUGGUAGCCUGGUUUGAGGGAUUCGGACACACCUUCGGGGGUGUUUGGACUCAAACCCCGGGAUUAAAAGACUUUACAAAGGAAAUGACUUUCUAAAAGAUAAGAUAAAAGAGUUUUGAGAAGGAACAAGUGUGUGAUGUGCGCAAUCGGCCGAGCUCAAGUAAGUAUUCCCCAAAGUACCCAUACAAGUUUAUGUUACAUUUAAUAGUUUCAGUAGAACAACAUGCUAGUAUAGGACUAAGGAUCUAGGAGUGAUGCCUUAUGUGCCUGCUUUAUGUGCUUCAACUUAUGAGAAUUGCAUGCUAGAAUUGAGUAGACAACAGUAUGAUAGCCUGUUUAGGUUAUGCCUUAUAGUAUGAGCUUAGCAUUGUAUGCUAGUGCAGUUCCUGUUAUGAGAAUAUAGUUGUUGGAGAAUUGUUCCCUUUUGUUCGAAUGUUGCUUUCUUUUUGCUUUGUGGGACUCUGAACAAUGAGAGUUAGCCAUUAGGUGAAUACAUCACGUCACAUGUGAUCAGGGUUGAAUAAUCUCAGAGUGCUGGAUUUGGCCCUAUUGUGCAGCUCUCGUUUGAGUCUAACCGUUGUGGGGACGAGUCUUUUACUCGAAGGAUUAUCUGAGCCUCACCACAUGUGAUGGUAGUCAGGUAAUGGCUAAUUGGCAUUGCAAGGAGGCCUUCAGCAGUUGAGGACCAGAUAGGGUGGAGUCAGAGGUUUUCCCUAGGGUAAGCCUAGGAUGAGAAUAACAGUGAUCAGCAAUGGUAAAAGGGAUCUGGUGGAGUCAAGGCAGUCCUUGAAGAAGGUACGGAUAGAUGUGGAACGUAGUAUGGGCCUGUACUACUAAAAGCAGAGGAUCGGUACCCGAAAUGAGGAAGGCCGAGAUAAGACCACGGAACUUGUAGUAGAUAUAAUCCCUCAAGAGGUAUCAGUGUCACUAACAGUUGUUAUUAUGUAUUGCAGAAUGGUGGUACUACGUUCGAGGCCAGCAGUUGGCAGCUCAGGAGAGGGAUCGGGUUCGGGAUCAGGUUCCAAGCCAGUAGAUGAGGGGCUGCGCGAGUUCAAAGCGUCAGAGAUCACCAGAGGUAUCCUUGAGUCGACCCACAUCAUCUUCGGGUCGAUCAAGGAAGGGAUAGUUGAGCUGAUGGAGGACCGCCUCAGGGCGUUCAGGAGUGACCUGGUCAUCUGGCCAGUCAGGAUCUCGCACACUGUCCUUUAAGGACUUCAAGGGCAGUGGUGCGCCAGAUUUCCAUGGGGAGAAGGACCCCAUUGCUGCCAGACGAUGGAUCGCAGACAUUGAGUCAGCGCAGUUGACUAGCUUCUGCCCCGAGGGGUCGAAGGUGAGGUUCGCAGUAGGGUGUUUGAGAGACAGAGCUAGAGACUGGUGGGAGUCUGUUGGUGACUCAUUGGGAGCCUCGCCUAUUGAGGCUAUGACGUGGCCAGACUUUGUGACCCGGUUCAGAGCGGAGUUCGCACCUGCAGUGGAGCUCCAACAUUUAGCUAGAGAGUUUUUGGACAUGAGACAGACGACGGAGACUAUGGCGGAAAUCACCGCCAAGUUCCGAGAGAGAGUGUUGUUGGUGCCCCAAUAUGCGGGAGAUGAGGAUAUGAAGAGGACCCGCUACCAUGACAUGCUGCGAGCCGACAUUCGGGAGCAUGUCAUUUUUUCAGCUUCCCCUACCUUGGACUCUAUGAUUUCCAGGGCGAGGGAGAGGGAGAUAGAUCUGGAGCACAUCCGAAAGAGGAAGUCAGAGGAGGGACAGACAGGAGGGGCUUCGGGGAAGAAACCCAAGGGAUCAGAUGUGAAAACUGUCAAUUCAGGUCAUUCUUGGACUCAUGGAUCUUUAUAAAAACCAUUCAUGCACAACAUGCCAUGGCCUAGUAGUAUAAAUUAGGUCAAAAUCUUGCAUAAACUAGGAUCCAACUAAGAUCUAGGACUAAUAUACUUGACUCUUACGAUUCUAGUAAGUUGUUUACUUACAAUAGGAAAUGCCAAUACCAUAAUUAGAAUGAAACUUCAAACUUUGUUACAAUUGAAAAAGGGUAUAAAACCCUAAAAAUAAAUUAAAAUAUUCUAAUUUCAUUCCAAUAUGAUGGUGAAUAUCAAACAAUGUUCCAAAAACUCUAAAGAGUCAAAAAUCCAAAUUUAUAAACUUUAAAGCUUAAAAACUUUAUAAAAUUUCGCUAUAAACUUCCUAAUAUCAAAUUUUUAUUAAUCAAAUUAUGGAUUAUAAUCAAUGAAAUAGAAAUUUAAAUUAUCAUACAUUAAUCAUAAUUUAUUAGUUAAAAACAAGAUUUUUAAAUAAAUCAAGAAUUGCUUAAAGAAACACUUUUAUAAAAAUUAGGGUUUUAUAAAAAUUAAAGAGGGAAUUGUAUAAAAUUUGAAUUUAGGAGAGAGAGGGCCUUUAAUACACACAAAAAUCCGGCCACCUUCUCCCCCAUGCCCUCUCUCUUCCUAAAACUUCAAUCAUUAAAACACAAUCCCCACUCUUCCACUUCUCUCUUCACUCUCUCACACACUCCACCCUUUCAACUCUCAAACUCUCUUCCUAUCUCUCUAAACUCAUGAAAAUUUUCAGUCAAGAACACCUCUCCACACUCAAAUCUUCAUCUUCCAAGGCUAUUCUUCAAGGUAGACACGAAAAUCUUUCACCCUCCCUUACUUUUCCUUCUUGUUUUUAAAGGGUUUUCUUGUAUUUCUCUUCCUUCUACACCAUUCUUUAUGAACAUUCAUGAACAUGUUCAUGAAUGUCGAGUUUGAUGAUGAUGGUGGUAGGGUUUCACCCAAGAACAACAUGCAUGUUGUUUAAUGGUGAAAUCCAAGGACCAAAACCUAUGUUAAACACUAAAGUUCGGAUUUUUACAAGUUUUAAAGGUUCAUACACCUUAUGCAUUCAAGUAUUUCCUUUAAAAAAAUCACUAUGACAAACAUAUGUCCAUUCAUGGUCUUCAAACCGUGAUGCAUGUGAUGAACACCAAGCUAAUGAGCUUGAUGAUCAAAGUACAUUGUUAAUAGUGCAUGUAAACGAUUUUGUCUAUAAAAAUAUCUAAAAGUUCUUUUCUGUUCAAAUCAAACUUUUUCCAGAUUCCCAUUAAGGCAAUAUGAACAUCUGGAAAAUUUCAAGAGUUUUUAUCAUUUCCUUGAUUUACUAAAAUUGUUGCAAGAAAACAAGGGAAUAAAUCACAUAAAGUACUUCCAGAGGUCUAUAAAUCCUUAAUAAAUUCUUGGAUGACCCCUACAGUGAAUAAUUACCUCUCGUUAAAUUUCAUCAAUUUAUGUUGGUGUUUAGUAUGAUUUUAGAUUUUCUUUUUGUUUGGGUACAAUAAAUCACAAAACCACUUUAGAGAGUGUGAAAAUUUUAUCUAACAAUUUUCGCAGCUCUUAACUAAGGUGGGAGACUCAGAAAAACCAUUUCAGAAUUUUUCAUCAUGCCUUUCUAUUUUUCCCAAUUUUUGGUAAAUAUAAUGGCCUAAAAAUAGGAAAAAUAGUUCUGAUUAUCCAAAAUUCAUGAAAAUUUACCUGAACAUCAUGUUGUACAUUAGGAGGUUACAUAAACAUUUUGAUGAUUUUUCUGUACUGUAUACUAUUUUUCUCCUAUUUUCUAAGGUUAAAUACACUUAAAUACACUUAAAUACACAUAAAUACCCAAAACCGGAUUAUACAAUAUGAAAACCACUUUUGGUAUGUUUCCCAGAUUACUUACACUGUAAAUGAUGUUAAAAAAAAUUUUGGUAAUUUAUUUUCACUGUUUAUUAUUUAUUCUUCAAUUAAUGAUUAUUUAAGGGGAUAAAACAAAGAAAAAUAGAAAUACCAACUGAAAAAUAUCGUUUAUAUUUUUCCCGGCCUAGUUAUGUAUAAUAACAGAUAAAUAAAAAAUUUGGGUAAUUUUGGAAACUGUUUUCUAUUUAUUUCAAUUUUUAUUGGAAUAAAUGCUCAAAAAUCAUAAAAUAUAAUUAAACCGCUUAGAAAUCCAUUUUUAUAUUUUUUUUCCAGAUUAUUAGUGUAUAAUAACAGUUAAAUAAAAAGUUUGGGUAAUUUUGGAAACUUUUUUCUAUUUAUUUCAGUUUUUAUUGGAAUAAAUGAUCAAAAAUCAUAAAAUAUAAUUAAACAGCUUUGAAAUCCAUUUUUAUAUUUUUCCCAGCUUAGUAAUGUGUAAUAACAGUAAAAUAAAAAUUUUGAGAAUUUUUAUCCUUUGAAUGCUAUUAUUCGUGAAUUUAUGUUGUUAUGAAGGCUUAAAAAUUUGGAAAAUAGUUAACCAUAUCAAAAAUUGAAGGAAAAUUUUCUGGAAAACCUCUAUUGUAUUUAGAAUGAAAAAUACAAGGUUUGACAAUUUUUGGAAACUGUUUGAUAAUAUUUUACAUUUUUAGGAGUUUAAGACACCUUUAAAUGUGUUGAAACACCCUUAAAUUUAUAUUACUAAAUCUGGAAAAUUAAUAUCCCAAAGUCAUAUUAAUCGCAUGACUUGUAGAAUUUCAUCAUUUCAGAAAAAGUGUAACCAAUUAAUAUAAAAUCCAAUAUUAGAACAUAAAUUGGCAUUUCACUAUAUGUAGAGUUUAGUAUAUUAGCAUUCGAUUUCGACAUGGAAACUCACUAGUGUGUGUUUGAUAUCGUAGGAUCCCGGUAUUAAGACGUUGGUGUAUUCCGAGGCACCACUUGUAUCUACUCAAAACAUUGUGAGUAUUCACGCACUCCCCUAUUUUCAGUUUUUAUGUUUUGGGGUGGAAAAGCAUGUCCAGAAAAACUAUUAUUUGCAUGUUGUAUUUAAAUUGAUUUGUAUCAAACAUGAUUGCUAUUGUAUUGCUAUGUCUCUCUAUGUAUGUCUAUGCAACACGGAACAUGAGAACUUAUCGUACUAAGGCCCUUCUCUUAUCUCUAACCAUUAACUCUUUGAGCCAAUGGUCAUUAUGGAUAGCGCUAUUAGGAAUUGACAACUCCUCACUCGCCCUAUUGCUGGAGUGCAUGAUACCAUAUUCAUCUAUGGAACGAUAAGCAUAGAUCUCGAUAGGGCUUCAGUCAUAGGUUUGGUUGAGACUCAUUGUUUGCUCAUAUACAUACAAACUCGUUUCUCGUUAUAGCAAUAAACUUGUAUUCAUUAAUAGCAAUCAACUUUGUUUAUCAUUAAAGCAAUGUACUUGUAUUUACGAAAAGCCUUAUUUCAAGCUCGAUUUUAUAAACUUGUGAACUCACCAACUAUUUUCAUAGUUGACGCUCGUUUUACAUGCUUUUUCAGGAAAUAAUUAGUAAGUGGAUAUAAAGAUUCAUCAUCAUAGAGCAUGCUGCAUCGUGUUGAAGUUAUUUAUGAAGUUAUAUUUUGAACAAUGUUAUUUUGGAAAAACUUGUACUUGUUUUUUUUAAGCUAUGGGUUGUGAACUUUUGAAUAUUGCUAUGGUGAUGUAUCUUUAUCUUUUACAAUGAAACAGUUAUCGCUGUCAUAUCUUGCGUUUCCGCUUUAGCAGGGUGUGACAUCAGAUGGUAGGCCGAAAGGACAGUCAGGACCGGGCCGCUGCAGGAAAUGUGGCAGGCCACAUGAGGGAGCAUGUAGAGUGGGAUCGCCGGGCUGCUAUAAGUCCGGCAAGAUGGGGCACUUCAGCAGGGAUUGUACCGUCCCUGCACCGGUGAUACAGACGUCAGAGUUGUUGUGUUUCCACUACAACUAGAGGGGCCACAAGAAGGCCAAUUGCCCCCAAUUGACAGCAUAAGUGCCAGUGAAGGCGCCAGCUCUAGCGACCCUGCGGAUUACCGAUGGUCGACAGGGCAAGGCAGAGGCUUCAGUGGUGAGGAGCCGGGCAUUUCAGCUGACUACCGAGGAGUUACGCGCCGCACCCGAUGUGGUGACGGGUAUGAUUCUUUCCCUCAGAUUUAUUUAUAUGAUGUUAUGAUAUUGAUAUGUGCUCUGUGUAUAUGCGUUUAGGAUCGUUCCAUGUGAACGGUAUCCCACUACAGGUGUUGUUUGACUCGGGUGCCACCCGAUCGUUUGUCUCUCUUGUGCUUAGCAAGAAGUUCACUAAGUCUUCGGGCAUGUUGGAUUGCCCUUUAGAGGUAGAGAUUGCCGAUGAUCGAUCAGUGCGAGCAUCAACAGUGUUCAGAGAUUGCGUUCUGAGGCUAUUUGAGGAGCACUACUUGGUAGACUUGGUUCCCAUUCCAUUGCGUGGGAACAAGGUGAUUAUAGGUAUGGAUUGGCUCAGCCCCAAUGGGGCGGUGAUAGAUUGCACUCAGCAGCUGGUGCAGAUCAGGACCCCAAGUGGGGGAGAGUUGGUAGUUCAGGGCGAGAGGCCACAACAAGGGCCAGUGGUAAGUUCAAUAGUGAGAGUUAGGCGCUACCUUCAGCAGGGUUGUGCAGGAUAUGUCGCGUAUGUUAUGGACACCCGUGAGGCAGGUAAGGCGAUGGUGAGUGAGGUUCCAGUGG
rnacentral:lncRNA from 1 species